CGGAUCGUAAGCUCUCGUUGUUAGGGAAGAACAAGUACCGUUCGAAUAGGGCGGUACCUUGACGGUACCUAACCAGAAAGCCACGGCUAACUACGUGCCAGCAGCCGCGGUAAUACGUAGGUGGCAAGCGUUGUCCGGAAUUAUUGGGCGUAAAGGGCUCGCAGGCGGUUUCUUAAGUCUGAUGUGAAAGCCCCCGGCUCAACCGGGGAGGGUCAUUGGAAACUGGGGAACUUGAGUGCAGAAGAGGAGAGUGGAAUUCCACGUGUAGCGGUGAAUGCGUAGAGAUGUGGAGGACACCAGUGGCGAAGGCGACUCUCUGGUCUGUAACUGACGCUGAGGAGCGAAAGCGUGGGGAGCGAACAGGAUAGAUACCCUGGUAGUCCACCCCGUAAACGAUGAGUGCUAAGUGUUAGGGGGUUUCCGCCCCUUAGUGCUGCAGCUAACGCAUAAGCACUCCGCCUGGGGAGUACGGUCGCAAGACUGAAACUCAAAGGAAUGACGGGGCCCGCACAAGCGGUGGAGCAUGUGUUUAAUCGAAGCAACGCGAAGAACCUACCAGGUCUUGACAUCCUCUGACAUCCUAGAGAUAGGACGUCCCCUCGGGGGCAGAGUGACAGGUGGUGCAUGGUUGUCGUCAGCUCGUGUCGUGAGAUGUUGGGUUAAGUCCCGCAACGAGCGCACCCUUGAUCUUAGUUGCCAGCAUUCAGUUGGGCACUCUAAGGUGACUGCCGGUGACAAACCGGAGGAAGGUGGGGAUGACGUCAAAUCAUCAUGCCCCUUAUGACCUGGGCUACACACGUGCUACAAUGGACAGAACAAAGGGCAGCGAAACCGCGAGGUUAAGCCAAUCCC
rnacentral:rRNA from 1 species